rnacentral:rRNA from 1 species
GAGUUGAUUCUGGCUCAGGAUGAACGCUGGCGGCAUGCCUAACACAUGCAAGUCGAACUAGCUUAGCGCAAGUUAGAGUGGGUGGCGGACGGGUGAGGAACACGUAAGAACCUACCCUUUGGGGAGGAUAACUGCUGGAAACGGCAGCUAAUACUCCAUAUGCUGAGGAGUGAAAUCGAAGAAUUCGGCCAAGGGAUGGGCUUGCGUCUGAUUAGCUAGUUGGUGAGGUAAAUGCUUACCAGGCGACGAUCAGUAGCUGGUCUGAGAGGAUGAUCAGCCACACUGGGACUGAGACACGGCCAGACUCCUACGGGAGGCAGCAGUGAGGAAUUUUCCGCAAUGGGCGAAAGCCUGACGGGCAAUGCCGCGUGAAGGAUGAAGGCCUGUGGGUUGUAAACUUCUUUUCUCAGAGACGAAAUCUGACGGUAUCUGAGGAAUAAGCAUCGGCUAACUCUGUGCCAGCAGCCGCGGUAAU